rnacentral:rRNA from 1 species
GAUGAACGCUGGCGGCGUGCCUAAUACAUGCAAGUCGAGCGAACGGACGAGAAGCUUGCUUCUCUGAUGUUAGCGGCGGACGGGUGAGUAACACGUGGAUAACCUACCUAUAAGACUGGGAUAACUUCGGGAAACCGGAGCUAAUACCGGAUGAUAUUUUGAACCGCAUGGUUCAAAAGUGAAAGACGGUCCUGCUGUCACUUAUAGAUGGAUCCGCGCUGCAUUAGCUAGUUGGUAAGGUAACGGCUUACCAAGGCAACGAUGCAUAGCCGACCUGAGAGGGUGAUCGGCCACACUGGAACUGAGACACGGUCCAGACUCCUACGGGAGGCAGCAGUAGGGAAUCUUCCGCAAUGGGCGAAAGCCUGACGGAGCAACGCCGCGUGAGUGAUGAAGGUCUUCGGAUCGUAAAACUCUGUUAUUAGGGAAGAACAUAUGUGUAAGUAACUGUGCACAUCUUGACGGUACCUAGUCAGAAAGCCACGGCUAACUACGUG